GAUUACUAGCGAUUCCGACUUCAUGGAGUCGAGUUGCAGACUCCAAUCCGGACUACGACGCACUUUAUGAGGUCCGCUUGCUCUCGCGAGGUCGCUUCUCUUUGUAUGCGCCAUUGUAGCACGUGUGUAGCCCUGGUCGUAAGGGCCAUGAUGACUUGACGUCAUCCCCACCUUCCUCCAGUUUAUCACUGGCAGUCUCCUUUGAGUUCCCGACCUAAUCGCUGGCAACAAAGGAUAAGGGUUGCGCUCGUUGCGGGACUUAACCCAACAUUUCACAACACGAGCUGACGACAGCCAUGCAGCACCUGUCUCACGGUUCCCGAAGGCACAUUCUCAUCUCUGAAAACUUCCGUGGAUGUCAAGACCAGGUAAGGUUCUUCGCGUUGCAUCGAAUUAAACCACAUGCUCCACCGCUUGUGCGGGCCCCCGUCAAUUCAUUUGAGUUUUAACCUUGCGGCCGUACUCCCCAGGCGGUCUACUUAACGCAGACCGCCUGGGGAGUACGGCCGCAAGGUUAAAACUCAAAUGAAUUGACGGGGGCCCGCACAAGCGGUGUAGCAUGUGGUUUAAUUCGAUGCAACGCGAAGAACCUUACCUGGUCUUGACAUCCACGGAAGUUUUCAGAGA
rnacentral:rRNA from 1 species